CAGUCGCCGCGGUAAUACGGAGGGAGCUAGCGUUGUUCGGAAUUACUGGGCGUAAAGCGCGCGUAGGCGGUUACUCAAGUCAGAGGUGAAGGCCCGGGGCUCAACCCCGGAACUGCCUUUGAAACUAGGUGACUAGAAUCUUGGAGAGGUCAGUGGAAUUCCGAGUGUAGAGGUGAAAUUCGUAGAUAUUCGGAAGAACACCAGUGGCGAAGGCGACUGACUGGACAAGUAUUGGCGCUGAGGUGCGAAAGCGUGGGGAGCAAACAGGAUUAGAUACCCCUGUAGUCCCUGUCUCUUAUAC
rnacentral:rRNA from 1 species